rnacentral:lncRNA from 1 species
AAAUCUAGUUCAACCAGGAAUAAACACAGUCACCGGAGGUAUAUUGUAUUACGAUCCAAAUAAGGAUCGUGAAGAACUAGCUAAAAUGAUUAUUGUCAUGUGUUUGCCUUAUUCUUUUGCUUCUAAUCCUGCAUGGAUUCAUUAUACUAGAAGAGUAUUUAAUCCUACGUAUAAAGAUUGGCCUCGCGCCACAGUUAAGGCCGAUAUUUAUAAAUACAAG